GCGCGACCCGCAAGGGUUGGCGGCGAGUGGCGGACGGGUGAGGAAUACAUCGGAAUCUACCCAGUCGUGGGGGAUAACGCACCGAAAGGUGCGCUAAUACCGCAUGAGAUCGCGAGAUGAAAGCGGAGGACCGCAAGGCUUCGCGCGAUUGGAUGAGCCGAUGUCGGAUUAGCUAGUUGGCGGGGUAAGAGCCCACCAAGGCGACGAUCCGUAGCUGGUCUGAGAGGAUGAUCAGCCACACUGGGACUGAGACACGGCCCAGACUCCUACGGGAGGCAGCAGUGGGGAAUAUUGGACAAUGGGCGCAAGCCUGAUCCAGCAAUGCCGCGUGUGUGAAGAAGGCCUUCGGGUUGUAAAGCACUUUUAUCGGGAGCGAAAAGCUACGGGUUAAUACCCCGUGGUGCUGACGGUACCCGAUGAAUAAGCACCGGCUAACUUCGUGCCAGCAGCCGCGGUAAUACGAAGGGUGCAAGCGUUAGUCGGAAUUACUGGGCGUAAAGCGUGCGUAGGCGGUUUUCUAAGUCUGCCGUGAAAGCCCCGGGCUCAACCUGGGAAUGGCGGUGGAUACUGGAAAGCUGGAGUGCGGUAAAGGAGGGUGGAAUUCCCGGUGUAGCGGUGAAAUGCGUAGAGAUCGGGAGGAACAUCAGUGGCGAAGGCGGCCCUCUGGACCAGCACUGACGCUUAGGCACGAAAGCGUGGGGGAGCAAACAGGAUUAGAUACCCUGGUAGUCCCCGCCCUAAACGAUGCAAACUGGACGUUGGGCUCACUCGGAGCUCAGUGUCAAACCUUACGCGUUAAUUCGCCGCCGGGGGAUACGCUCGCAAGAGU
rnacentral:rRNA from 1 species